rnacentral:rRNA from 1 species
GACGGAGGAGGCAAGCGUUAUCCGGAAUUAUUGGGCGUAAAGGGUGCGUAGGUGGUCGUACAAGUCCCAUGUCAAAGCAUGGUGCUUAACGCCAUAAAGGCGUGGGAAACUGUAGGACUAGAGUACAGCAGGGGCAGGAGGAAUUCCCGGUGUAGCGGUGAAAUGCGUAGAUAUCGGGAAGAACACCAGUGGCGCAAGCGUUCUGCUGGGCUGUAACUGACACUGAGGCACGAAAGCUAGGGGAGCGAAAGGG